rnacentral:misc_RNA from 1 species
CACCGCGGUAAUUCCAGCUCCAAUAGCGUAUAUUAAAGUUGUUGCAGUUAAAAAGCUCGUAGUUGAAUUUCGGGAUCAAUAUAUCGGUCGUGCCAUUGGUACGUACUGGUAUCAUUGGUUUCUCCUUUCUGACGAACCAUGAUGUCAUUAAUUUGGUGUUAUGGGAAGUUAGGACUGUUACUUUGAAAAAAUUAGAGUGUUUAAAGCAGGCUUUAGCUUGAAUACAUUAGCAUGGAAUAAUGAAAUAGGACGUUCGAACCUAUUUUGUUGGUUUCUAGGAUCAACGUAAUGAUUAAUAGGGAUAGUUGGGGGCAUUAGUAUUCAAUUGUCAGAGGUGAAAUUCUUGGAUUUAUUGAAGACUAACUACUGCGAAAGCAUUUGCCAAGGAUGUUUUCAUUAAUCAAGAACGAAAGUUAGGGGAUCGAAGACGAUCAGAUACCGUCGUAGUCUUAACCAUAAACUAUGCCGACUAGGGAUCGGAUGAUGUUAAUUUUUUAAUGACUCAUUCGGCGCCUUACA